UAAAUAAUAACUUUAAACUUACUAAUAAGAUUAAAGUUGUUAUUUAAUAAGAUAUUGAUGUCGAUUCUAAAGGCGGAAAUUUUAAUUUUAAUGCUGUCAAAACCUUAAAUUCUUUGUUUUAAAUUCGACUCUAUGACUGUUCCCUGAAAUCUCAUUUUAUACUAGCAUUUUUUUUUUGUUUCACAGCGUUAAAAUUAGAAUUUUUGCCUUCAGAAUCGACAUCAUUAUUUUGUAACGUACCUCAUAAUAAUUAUGUUAAACCUGAAAUUAUUAUCAAACACUAGGUAGUAUUCUUUUUAGUACCUCAUGCCAACCCUUUCAUCUGUCAUAUGGCGGUUUGUUUUGAAGUUUUGAAUUUAGGCGUUAUGUCGUGAUACCUAGUUAUUUUUUGUAAUUUAGUAAGUUACGUUGAAGAAAUGGUUAAAAAGUGCUGUGUACAGUUUAGUAAAAGUGAAUCGUAUGGUGGAAGCGGAAUUUCAUUUCACAGAUUUCCGAAUAAUGAAAAUCAGAAUAAAAUAUGCCUAGAUGUUGUCCCGGUGACACAAACAUAACAAAAAAUUCCAUUGUAUGUAGCCUUCACUUCAAAACAGAAGACUUCUAUACAGCAAACUCCCGAUUGUUAUUGAAAGCCGGCGCAAUACCGUCUGAAUAAAUAUUUUUUUCCUAAACCACCGCCGUGUAAUCCCUGUUUUUUAUAUGUAUAUAAAAUUGUAUGUAAAUAUGUAUAAAAGUUCAUUACGUUUUUUAUUAUUAUUUUAUUCCGUACGAUAGAAUUACGGAAUAAUAAAAACUAAUUCAAUAAAUAAAUGUAUUUUAUUUGAAUUUGUCAUGAAUCAUGAUCAACUAAACUAUCGCCGUCCUUGACAAUCGCAAAACAAUCGCAUUUGCUAUCUAAGCAUCCCGUCUAUGCAACUCCGAAGUGUGACGAGAUUUUGACGACGUAUGGUAAAGAUUGUUUAGUAGAAUUAUCCAUAAAUUAUCUAGGUACCUAUAUAGUUUUUUUUUUUUGGGUCCCAAUUUUUGAUCACAAUAAUAUUUAUUUAUUUAUUUAUUUAUUUAAUAACUUAAACCUAUCAUUACAGCUACUCCAAUGCGAUAGGCAAGCAAACAGUUUUUAGUUAAAAUUAAACCCUAUAUCUUAUUAUUCAUAACAUAACACAGCACGUAUGAACAAUUCCUAUUGAAUU